rnacentral:rRNA from 1 species
GAAUUGUUGACAAUGGGGGAAACCCUGAUCCAGCCAUCCCGCGCGUAUGAUGAAGNCCNNCGGGUNGNAAAGUACUUUUGGCANNNNNGAAAAGGCAUCCCCUAAUACGGGAUGCUGCUGACGGUAUCUGCAGAAUAAGCACCGGCUCACUACGUGCCAGCAGCCGCGGUAAUACGUAGGGUGCAAGCGUUAAUCGGAAUUACUGGGCGUAAAGCGUGUGUAGGCGGUUAGGAAAGAAAGAUGUGAACUCCCAGGGCUCAACCUUGGAACUGCAUUUUUAACUGCCGAGCUAGAGUAUGUCAGAGGGGGGUAGAAUUCCACGUGUAGCAGUGAAAUGCGUAGAUAUGUGGAGGAAUACCGAUGGCGAAGGCAGCCCCCUGGGAUAAUACUGACGCUCAGACACGAAAGCGUGGGGAGCAAACAGG